rnacentral:rRNA from 1 species
GAUGAACGCUGGCGGCGUGCCUAAUACAUGCAAGUCGAGCGAACAGACGAGGAGCUUGCUCCUCUGACGUUAGCGGCGGACGGGUGAGUAACACGUGGAUAACCUACCUAUAAGACUGGGAUAACUUCGGGAAACCGGAGCUAAUACCGGAUAAUAUAUUGAACCGCAUGGUUCAAUAGUGAAAGACGGUUUUGCUGUCACUUAUAGAUGGAUCCGCGCCGCAUUAGCUAGUUGGUAAGGUAACGGCUUACCAAGGCAACGAUGCGUAGCCGACCUGAGAGGGUGAUCGGCCACACUGGAACUGAGACACGGUCCAGACUCCUACGGGAGGCAGCAGUAGGGAAUCUUCCGCAAUGGGCGAAAGCCUGACGGAGCAACGCCGCGUGAGUGAUGAAGGUCUUCGGAUCGUAAAACUCUGUUAUUAGGGAAGAACAAAUGUGUCAGUAACUAUGCACGUCUUGACGGUACCUAAUCAGAAAGCAACGGCUAACUACGUG